CAACACACGUGUGUUUAACGGCUACGACGAGUUGCGAUCUAGUGGUGACAAAAUAUGGAACAAAUAAAUCUAAACCCAAUUGAGCAUCUCUGGAGAGACCUGAACAUGGCUGUCCACCAACGUUCACCUCCAACCUGACGGAACUGGAGAGGAUCCCCAAAUCCAUGUGUGAAAAACUUGUUGCAUCAUUCCAAAGAAGACUCAUGGCUGUACUAGCUCAAAAGGGUGCUUCGACUCAAUACUGAGCAAAGGGUCUGAAUUCUUAUGAUCAUGUGAUAUUUCAGUUUUUCUUUUUUAAUACAUUUGCAAAAAUG